CACUAGCUGACGAGUCCUAAAUAGGACGAAAUGCGCAUCCUGAUG
rnacentral:hammerhead_ribozyme from 1 species